rnacentral:rRNA from 1 species
UACGUAGGGACCAAGCGUUGUUCGGAAUCACUGGGCUUAAAGGGCGCGUAGGCGGGCCGCCAGGUCCGGGGUGAAAGCCUCCAGCUCAACUGGAGAAGUGCCUUGGAUACCGGCGGCCUCGAGGGAGGUAGGGGCGUGCGGAACUUCGGGUGGAGCGGUGAAAUGCGUAGAUAUCCGAAGGAACACCGGUGGCGAAAGCGGCGCGCUGGGACUCUUCUCGACGCUGAGGCACGAAAGCCAGGGGAGCAAACGGG